rnacentral:lncRNA from 1 species
CAGGUGAAAUUUAGAGAGGUAUAAAAGGUGUCCUGUUAUUUAGAAGAUUGGUCUCUUUAAUGCUUGCCUAAAUGUAACUAGAUUUCACAAGUUUGCCCUAUUUUCUCAAAAGUAGAAACGGUAAUGUGGAGUUGAGUGUAAUAAUGGUGUUCUCAAGAGCAGAAGGUGCCAUAUAAUUUAAAGUCUUAAGAGCUGCUGUGUCUUGUCUUAGGGUUUCACUAUACCACUAUGAACCACACCAAGCAAAGAGAAAGAAAGCAACUUACAUCAGGGAAGAGGCUUCUUGGUCAACUUUUCCAUCUGUCUCUGUGGGUUUCUGCUGCUGGUAACAGUUGAAAUUUGGAGCUUGAGUGGACACUUCAGAGAGAAGAAGACUGAGCUUCUUUCUAGAGAAUAUUAUUGCAAUUUUAGUUUGGAGUGUUUUAACCAACAGUUGUAAAACUGCCAGCUACAGCACACGUUGAUUUUUGUUCAGCUCAAGGUCACUGUGAAUAUGUAU